CCGGUACAGACAGAGACCUGUGCGGGCGGGUAGGCUGACAGACCCUAUGUGAGAUUAUCGACAGACAAAGCCAUUGUGAAGGAGCGGGCUGUGAAAUGUCUCUUUCAGUGUUCUUGGACAAUUGCAGAGAGGGUUCUUUACACAAUGGGCAACAGGGAACUUCCUCCAGCCAACAGGCUGAAAACUGACCAACCUGUCUCGUAUUGCCAACCGUGGCAGGGAACCUCUCCAACCAUAGGAAUCCCAGGAAGAUGAUUUUGAUAUUGCCCAUAAUUUCCUCCAGAAGGAUUUCUCCAAGCAGACAUCUCUCACGACUGACAGUGACGCCUCGUCUUUUCCACUCAGGAACAGCUUGAUUUGCUCUCGGACAUUCAGACUUGGUACGUCCACGGAACAUUCAAGACGCCAAUGAAAACACCAAGCAAGUUCCACUGCUAUUUGUCAUGAUGACACGCCGACAAACCGCAGAUUAUGUGAAGGUGUUUGAGACUAUACUUUUACCUGGUCGAGCUGCCAUCCUAAUAGAUGGUUGUUGCAGAUUUUGAGAAAGCGACGCGGGCGGCUACCAGAUCAUGUAUCCCCGGAGUUGCCAUCAGGAGUUACAACUUCCACUAGAACCAGGCUAUUUGGUGGAAGGUUCAGGAAGUUGGU